rnacentral:rRNA from 1 species
UACGAAGGGGACUAGCGUUGUUCGGAAUUACUGGGCGUAAAGCGUGCGCAGGCGGUUUGUUAAGUCCGUUGUGAAAGCCCCGAGCUCAACUUGGGAAUUGCAGUGGAUACUGGCAGGCUGGAGUACGGUAGAGGAAGGUGGAAUUCCCGGUGUAGCAGUGAAAUGCGUAGAUAUCGGGAGGAACACCAGUGGCGAAGGCGGCCUUCUGGACCAGUACUGACGCUCAUGCACGAAAGCGUGGGGAGCAAACAGG